UAGGGAAUCUUCCGCAAUGGACGCAAGUCUGACGGAGCAACGCCGCGUGAGUGAAGAAGGAUUUCGGUUCGUAAAACUCUGUUGUUAGAGAAGAACAGCGCAUAGAGUAACUGUUAUGCGUGUGACGGUAUCUAACCAGAAAGCCACGGCUAACUACGUGCCAGCAGCCGCGGUAAUACGUAGGUGGCAAGCGUUGUCCGGAUUUAUUGGGCGUAAAGAGCUUGUAGGCGGUUCGUCGCGUCUGGUGUGAAAGCCCAUCGCUUAACGGUGGGUUUGCGCCGGGUACGGGCGGGCUAGAGUGCAGUAGGGGAGACUGGAAUUCCCGGUGUAACGGUGGAAUGUGUAGAUAUCGGGAAGAACACCAAUGGCGAAGGCAGGUCUCUGGGCUGUUACUGACGCUGAGAAGCGAAAGCGUGGGGAGCGAACAGG
rnacentral:rRNA from 1 species